rnacentral:tRNA from 2 species
GGAGAGGUGCGAGAGCGGACGAAUCGGGCGGUCUUGAAAACCGCAGUCCUUCACGGGACCGUGGGUUCGAAUCCCACCCUCUCCGCCA